AACCCCUGUCUCGAUCGGGAUCACCACCUUAUCGUGGUGAGGCAGUUUGUGUGUCCCAAUGACCCCUAGAGCUAUGCCGGCGGGAGUCAUGUACUCUUGUUAGGGUCACCCAUGCCGGACAGGUCGAAGGGUAGGGGCCAGACGAAGAGUGAUCCCACAAGGCCCUAUCAGUGCUAACUGAAGUUGCCCUACCAGGCUGGGAAUCAUCGUCAGACAGUGCAAAAAAUUGCCAAUUAACCUGACAGAGUCUAACCUUGUUGCCAUUUAUCAGUUAGCUGUUCUCUUGCUGAAGGUUGUGGGUAAGGAUAUUAGAUGAUGGCUUUCUGCAGAUUUUAUGGGAGUGCGCUGAUGACGUAAAUGACAGUCACUGUGAAGGUCAAAUGCGAAGAACGUGACAUCAAGCAACGCCACAUAGACAAGAUCAACACUUUGACCAAGCAGCUACACCCAGCCACUUGAAGAAGACUCUGCAAAUGACAUCAACUAUAUUGUCAAAACUCUCAGUCAACGAUGGCAAGACACAAGUGAUAAACUGGACCAGUGUAGAGACCUUGAAAAACCUUUAUUCCCAUGAGGAUUGUUGGUUGGUGGCGUACAUCAAAAAUAGUUUGACUGCAAACAAAAGACCCCAAGAAGUGCACUUCAAAUAACCUUCUUUUUAAACUAAUUUACUGGUCAAACAUGUAAAGCACUAAAGCAAGGCGCCAAGGUAUUUUCAAAGUGUUAUUCAAAUUUGAACCUUACAGCCUUGACUAAGUGCUUUGUAUUUGAACAGUGAACCAAUGUAUGGAAAAUGGCGAAUAGUCUUCUUCCCAUCGUCCCGUCCCCAAACAACAUACCCAAACAACAGAACCCAAGACUUCUGGGUUUCCUUACUUCCAUUGAUCAAAUUUCCAAAGGUGGAUGUAUAAGAGACGCCUUAGGUUAUGUCGAACUUGUUAUGAUGAAAAUAAAAUGUAUGUGAAAAAUUUU